ACGAACGCUGGCGGCGUGCCUAAUACAUGCAAGUCGAACGCUUCUUUUUCCACCGGAGCUUGCUCCACCGGAAAAAGAGGAGUGGCGAACGGGUGAGUAACACGUGGGUAACCUGCCCAUCAGAAGGGGAUAACACUUGGAAACAGGUGCUAAUACCGUAUAACAAUCGAAACCGCAUGGUUUUGAUUUGAAAGGCGCUUUCGGGUGUCGCUGAUGGAUGGACCCGCGGUGCAUUAGCUAGUUGGUGAGGUAACGGCUCACCAAGGCGACGAUGCAUAGCCGACCUGAGAGGGUGAUCGGCCACAUUGGGACUGAGACACGGCCCAAACUCCUACGGGAGGCAGCAGUAGGGAAUCUUCGGCAAUGGACGAAAGUCUGACCGAGCAACGCCGCGUGAGUGAAGAAGGUUUUCGGAUCGUAAAACUCUGUUGUUAGAGAAGAACAAGGAUGAGAGUAACUGUUCAUCCCUUGACGGUAUCUAACCAGAAAGCCACGGCUAACUACGUGCCAGCAGCCGCGGUAAUACGUAGGUGGCAAGCGUUGUCCGGAUUUAUUGGGCGUAAAGCGAGCGCAGGCGGUUUCUUAAGUCUGAUGUGAAAGCCCCCGGCUCAACCGGGGAGGGUCAUUGGAAACUGGGAGACUUGAGUGCGGAAGAGGAGAGUGGAAUUCCAUGUGUAGCGGUGAAAUGCGUAGAUAUAUGGAGGAACACCAGUGGCGAAGGCGGCUCUCUGGUCUGUAACUGACGCUGAGGCUCGAAAGCGUGGGGAGCAAACAGGAUUAGAUACCCUGGUAGUCCACGCCGUAAACGAUGAGUGCUAAGUGUUGGAGGGUUUCCGCCCUUCAGUGCUGCAGCUAACGCAUUAAGCACUCCGCCGGGGGAGUACGACCGCAAGGUUGAAACUCAAAGGAAUUGACGGGGGCCCGCACAAGCGGUGGAGCAUGUGGUUUAAUUCGAAGCAACGCGAAGAACCUUACCAGGUCUUGACAUCCUUUGACCACUCUAGAGAUAGAGCUUCCCCUUCGGGGGCAAAGUGACAGGUGGUGCAUGGUUGUCGUCAGCUCGUGUCGUGAGAUGUUGGGUUAAGUCCCGCAACGAGCGCAACCCUUAUUGUUAGUUGCCAUCAUUUAGUUGGGCACUCUAGCAAGACUGCCGGUGACAAACCGGAGGAAGGUGGGGAUGACGUCAAAUCAUCAUGCCCCUUAUGACCUGGGCUACACACGUGCUACAAUGGGAAGUACAACGAGUCGCAAAGUCGCGAGGCUAAGCUAAUCUCUUAAAGCUUCUCUCAGUUCGGAUUGUAGGCUGCAACUCGCCUACAUGAAGCCGGAAUCGCUAGUAAUCGCGGAUCAGCACGCCGCGGUGAAUACGUUCCCGGGCCUUGUACACACCGCCCGUCACACCACGAGAGUUUGUAACACCCGAAGUCGGUGAGGUAACCUUUUGGAGCCAGCCGCCUAAGGUGGGAUAGAUGAUUGGGGUG
rnacentral:rRNA from 1 species